UACUGCUGUAUUCCAUUAUAGCCUUAUGCAGGGAAUAUUGAGCAUUUCUAUUCCCUCUUUUCCCCACCGAAUGGCUCAUUCGUUGUUUAGAAAAAUCAAUUUUAGCCUUCCCAAUUUCUCACCUAAUAAAUCUCAGACUCAGCCCGAUCGACAGUCACUCCCUUCUUUCCUUCAAGUUCGGCAGAGGGAAAAAUAGGCAGGUAGCCAAGCAAGCAUAAUGUUUGAGUGAUAAUGCGUCUUCCUUUCCACAAUCAACACUUCCAUCUCCUCCUUCGCAAUCUCUCCUCUUUUGCCUCCAAAACUACCAUUUUCAUGACCUCUAAGCACUUCCUCCCUUCCCCUCUGCUGUCUCAAACCCUUUCUUCUAAACACUACUCCACCCCCUAAACACCUCUUUCCCUCUCUUUCUUCCAAACCCAUCCCCAAAAACCAUUCUUUCUGGCUCAAGACUAGUGGGUUUUCUUCUCUUCCUUCUCCUGUUUCUUCUCCCUCUCCAAGAGUUUUUAUUUUUUGUAAAUACAAGGAAAAAGGGAUUACCUCUGCCGAAAUGAAGAAAGGUGAUCUUUUCUUGGUUGAUGUUAAUACCCAGCUGAAGUCUAGGAAUGUUACACCUGAUAUUAAAGUGGACAUCAGCUCCAAUUAGUUAACAUUAACUUUGCAGCAAUUAUAAAAGUUUGGGGUUUUGCUUGAUCUCUUUCAGUUAAAGAAGAUAAUGGACAAGAGGAGAAAUAGUAAAUGCGGCCAACGAUCAAGAAGAGGCAUUCUACUUGAUGAUGAUGAUGAUGAUGAUGCUGCUAGAGGUGAUUGCACAAUUUCCAGGGUCUACGCAAGACUCUUCAUGAUUACUUCAUAGAUUUGUCAGGAAAAAAGGGCAUCGAUGAGAGAGGAAGCACUUUCAACAAUUCUCAAGGCUUUAACUCUCAACAUCAAGCAAAAAUUUGUAGAGCUGAAGAAGGCAUUACUUCCUUUUCAGGGGUUUUAUAUAAAUGUGUAAAGGAUAAAUAACUUCACAUUAAAGAAUUUAGUAGUCAGAAUUUCAUUCUCAAGAACUUUGUAACACUAGUGUAUCAAUGCUUGCAUUUCAUUAAAAAGGGUUCGCCUACAAAAAUGAAGCAAGCAGCACAUAUUAUUGGAUUGUUGUCAAUGGUUACUACUUCUGUUGAGAAGGUGCACGAAGCAUAUGAAGAUGUGAUGACUGCACUUUCCCAGGGAGGACUAAAAUCUAAGACCUUGGAGAUUCUUCAUUGCUUGGCUGUUGUUACAUUUUUCGGUGCAAGCAACCCGAAUGAGACUGAAUUAGUAAUGAAGUUACUUUGGGACAUUAUUAAUCCUGGAACUAACUCUAGUGUAUGAAUUUUAACUGAUAUUUUUAUCUAUAUAUUUUGUAAUUUUCUUAAUCAAUUCCUAAACUUAGUUAACUGUAAAUUGGAGCCUAAAAGAAUAGGUUUCCUUCAAUGUACCAUUUCUUUUAAAAUGUAUUUGUUGUGUGUCAACUAUAAUGAACAUAACUUGAGAAGCAAUGGAUUCAAAUAAUAAUGUAUUAUUUUGUAGUAAAUGAAA